rfam:Trichobilharzia regenti genome assembly, scaffold: TRE_scaffold0069853
GUACCGCUGAAGAGUCCCAAACUAGGACGAAACAGCUAUCCAGUAC